rnacentral:rRNA from 2 species
GGUGGCGUGCAUAACACAUGCAAGUCGAACGAUGAAACUUAGUAGACUUCUUCGGAAUGACACUAAGCGAAUUAGUGGCGAACGGGUGAGUAACGCGUGAGUAACCUGCCUUACACAAGGGGAUAGCCUUUGGAAACGAAGAAUAAUACCCUAUAAAACUAUAAAAGCACAUGCUAGAAUGGUCAAAGUGCUAGCGGUGUAAGAUGGACUUGCGUCUGAUUAGCUAGUUGGUGAGAUAAAAGCUCACCAAGGCAACGAUCAGUAGCCGGCUUGAGAGAGUGUACGGCCACAUUGGGACUGAGACACGGCCCAGACUCCUACGGGAGGCAGCAGUGGGGAAUUUUGCACAAUGGGGGAAACCCUGAUGCAGCGACGCCGCGUGAUUUAGAAGGCCUUCGGGUUGUAAAAAUCUUUUGUAUAGGAAGAAAAUGACAGUACUAUACGAAUAAGGUCCGGCUAAUUACGUGCCAGCAGCCGCGGUAAUACGUAAGGACCGAGCGUUGUCCGGAAUCAUUGGGCGUAAAGGGUACGUAGGCGGCUAGAAAAGUUAGAAGUCAAAGGCUAUAGCUCAACUAUAGUAAGCUUCUAAAACUAUUUAGCUUGAGAAAUGGAAGGGAAAGUGGAAUUCCUAGUGUAGCGGUGGAAUGCGCAGAUAUUAGGAAGAAUACCGGUGGCGAAGGCGACUUUCUGGCCAUUAUCUGACGCUGAGGUACGAAAGCGUG